UCGAUCUAGACAAGAUCAAGGAGUUGAGCAUCAGGAGAUGGCAGAGAGAGGCCGUAACCUCCUCAAUUCGGAUGAGUCCAUUUUUCUCUCUCCUCUUUUGAUUUCUGUCUUCUCUUUUUUUCAUCUUCAAUGGUUGACUCUUCUCUGUUCUGGAUACAGCUAGGCCAUCAUGUCACCACCUUCAUCAACUCAUUGAGGACCUCG
rnacentral:lncRNA from 1 species